rfam:Salmo salar isolate Sally breed double haploid chromosome ssa02, whole genome shotgun sequence.
CCUAAUUGUUCCUGUAAGUCGCUCUGGAUAAGAGCGUCUGCUAAAUGUAAAAUG